rnacentral:rRNA from 1 species
AUUGAACGCUGGCGGCAUGCCUUACACAUGCAAGUCGAACGGCAGCACGGGUGCUUGCACCUGGUGGCGAGUGGCGAACGGGUGAGUAAUACAUCGGAACGUACCUUAUCGUGGGGGAUAACGCAGCGAAAGCUGUGCUAAUACCGCAUACGCCCUGAGGGGGAAAGCGGGGGAUCGCAAGACCUAGAGCGAUUAGAGCGGCCGAUGCCUGGUUAGCUAGUUGGUGGGGUAAAAGCCCACCAAGGCGACGCUCAGUAGCUGGUCUGAGAGAACGAUCAGCCACACUGGGACUGAGACACGGCCCAGACUCCUACGGGAGGCAGCAGUGGGGAAUUUUGGACAAUGGGGGCAACCCUGAUCCAGCAAUGCCGCGUGGGUGAAGAAGGCCUUCGGGUUGUAAAGCUCUUUUGUCAGGGAAGAAACACCGGCUCUAACACAGUCCGGGAAUGACGGUACCUGAAGAAUAAGCACCGGCUAACUUCUUGCCAGCAGCCGCGGUAA